GACUGAACUUUGUAGCAAGCACAUUCAUACCCUUUUCUCUCCACGAACUGUCCUGGAAACCAUUGUGGUGCUUCGCCAGAUAAGCACCCAUUGCCAUCAUGUGUCAUGUCAAGUCAUUUCAGUUUGUGAAACCAGAUAUAAACAGUGGAUAAACAAGUCACUGAGAUCUCGCCAACGACUUACCUUUCUGCGCAUGAGAAGAAGUAUCAAAUUUCUGUCCCCAGUUUUGCAACUCGUUUUAAUCUUGAUUACCCUGGAGCUAGGGAACAUUCAUAUGAUUUGCAGAAAAAAUACUUUUGAAUGUCAGAAGUACUUAAAGUUUCUCAGACUGAUUUUGCAGUAUAUUGAGAACUUGGUGACUUAUACAAGUCCAGAAAAAAAUAAAUGGGAUGAAACCAUAGAGCUUACACACAAAUCAUUGAUAAAAAUCAGAACCUUUCUAGGAAGAGAACUGAUGCUUGUACAGCUAGCUGAAACAAAGAAUGUAGUUAGUCCUUGUCAAAAUUCUAUAGGUUUAACUUAAACAGGCAGUUAUCAUUUCUCCCCAGUUUAUACAGAUCAAAAAACUAUGUGCAUAUAUUCUCCAAUGCAGUGGUGUGUAGAUGUGAGUAUGAAAGAUUUUCUGAGCAAAAAAAAAUAUAUGGCAAAGCCACUGUUAUCUGUUGAAUAUGGGUGGAUGGGUAUAUCGGACGAUGGAUUAAUGGAUGGAUCAAUGGAUAAAUGAAUGGGUUUGAUCACAUUAGUAAGAUCAGUAUUAUUGCUGCUAUAAAUAUAUUUUUAUUUUUUUACUAAAGUGCAUUAUAUACGUUACCAUAAAAAUGUUUCAGUAAAAUA